AUGCUAAUCUUUGGCAGCACAUAUACUAAAAUUGGAACGAUGCAGAGAAGAUUAGCAUAGCCCCUGUGCAUGACACGCAAAUUCAUGCAGCGUUCCCUAUUUCU